rnacentral:rRNA from 1 species
GACGAACGCUGGCGGCGUGCUUAACACAUGCAAGUCGAACGGAAAGGCCUUUUCGGAGGUACUCGAGUGGCGAACGGGUGAGUAACACGUGGGUGAUCUGCCCUGCACUCUGGGAUAAGCCUGGGAAACUGGGUCUAAUACCGGGUAGGACCGCACUUUAGUGUGUGUGGUGGAAAGUUUUUUCGGUGUAGGAUGAGCCCGCGGCCGAUCAGCUUGUUGGUGGGGUAAUGGCCUACCAAGGCGGCGACGGGUAGCCGGACUGCGAGGUUGGUCGGCCACAUUGGGACUGAGCUACGGCCCAGACUCCUACGGGAGGCAGCAGUGGGGAAUAUUGCACAAUGGGCGCCAGCCUGAUGCAGCGACGCCGCGUGGGGGAUGACGGCCUUCGGGUUGUAAACUCCUUUCGCCAGGGACGAAGCGUUUUGUGACGGUACCUGGAGAAGAAGCACCGGCUAACUACGUG